CCCUUAGAUGUUCUGGGCUGCACGCGUGCUACACUGAUAUUGCCAAUAUGUCAUUCUUAUCCGAAAUGGAUUGGGUAAUCAAGUAAUGAAAUUUCAUGCUUGGAAUCGGUAAUUGCAAUUUUAUCGUGAACGAGGAAUUCCUAGUAAGCACUAGUCAUCAGCUAAUGUUGAUUAUGUCCCUGCCCUUUGUACACACCGCCCGUCGCUACUACUGAUUGGGUGUUCAAGUGAGAUGCUUAGACCCUUGUUGCAUGGUUCAUUAUUGUGCUCCGAAAGGAAAAAGUGUCAAGCUUGAGUGUCUAGAGGAAGUAAAAGUCGUAACA
rnacentral:rRNA from 1 species